rnacentral:rRNA from 1 species
AUUGAACGCUGGCGGCAGGCCUAACACAUGCAAGUCGAGCGGAUGAAGGGAGCUUGCUCCUGGAUUCAGCGGCGGACGGGUGAGUAAUGCCUAGGAAUCUGCCUGGUAGUGGGGGAUAACGUCCUGAAACGGGCGCUAAUACCGCAUACGUCCUGAUGGAGAAAUUGGGGGAUCUUCGGACCUCACGCUAUCAGAUGAGCCUAGGUCGGAUUAGCUAGUUGGUGGGGUAAAGGCCUACCAAGGCGACGAUCCGUAACUGGUCUGAGAGGAUGAUCAGUCACCCUGGAACUGAGACACGGUCCAGACUCCUACGGGAGGCAGCAGUGGGGAAUAUUGGACAAUGGGAGAAAGCCUGAUCCAGCCAUGCCGCGUGUGUGAAGAAGGUCUUCGGAUUGUAAAGCAAUUUAAGUUGGGAGGAAGGGCAGUAAGUUAAUACCUUGCUGUUUUGACGGUACCAACAGAAUAAGCACCGGCUAACUUCGUG